rnacentral:rRNA from 1 species
GUAGCUUGCUACUGAUCUUAGCGGCGGACGGGUGAGUAAUGCUUAGGAAUCUGCCUAUUAGUGGGGGACAACAUUUCGAAAGGAAUGCUAAUACCGCAUACGUCCUACGGGAGAAAGCAGGGGAUCUUCGGACCUUGCGCUAAUAGAUGAGCCUAAGUCGGAUUAGCUAGUUGGUGGGGUAAAGGCCUACCAAGGCGACGAUCUGUAGCGGGUCUGAGAGGAUGAUCCGCCACACUGGGACUGAGACACGGCCCAGACUCCUACGGGAGGCAGCAGUGGGGAAUAUUGGACAAUGGGCGCAAGCCUGAUCCAGCCAUGCCGCGUGUGUGAAGAAGGCCUUAUGGUUGUAAAGCACUUUAAGCGAGGAGGAGGCUACUUUAGUUAAUACCUAGAGAUAGUGGACGUUACUCGCAGAAUAAGCACCGGCUAACUCUGUGCCAGCAGCCGCGGUAAUACAGAGGGUGCAAGCGUUAAUCGGAUUUACUGGGCGUAAAGCGCGCGUAGGCGGCUAAUUAAGUCAAAUGUGAAAUCCCCGAGCUUAACUUGGGAAUUGCAUUCGAUACUGGUUAGCUAGAGUGUGGGAGAGGAUGGUAGAAUUCCAGGUGUAGCGGUGAAAUGCGUAGAGAUCUGGAGGAAUACCGAUGGCGAAGGCAGCCAUCUGGCCUAACACUGACGCUGAGGUGCGAAAGCAUGGGGAGCAAACAGGAUUAGAUACCCUGGUAGUCCAUGCCGUAAACGAUGUCUACUAGCCGUUGGGGCCUUUGAGGCUUUAGUGGCGCAGCUAACGCGAUAAGUAGACCGCCUGGGGAGUACGGUCGCAAGACUAAAACUCAAAUGAAUUGACGGGGGCCCGCACAAGCGGUGGAGCAUGUGGUUUAAUUCGAUGCAACGCGAAGAACCUUACCUGGCCUUGACAUAGUAAGAACUUUCCAGAGAUGGAUUGGUGCCUUCGGGAACUUACAUACAGGUGCUGCAUGGCUGUCGUCAGCUCGUGUCGUGAGAUGUUGGGUUAAGUCCCGCAACGAGCGCAACCCUUUUCCUUAUUUGCCAGCGAGUAAUGUCGGGAACUUUAAGGAUACUGCCAGUGACAAACUGGAGGAAGGCGGGGACAACGUCAAGUCAUCAUGGCCCUUACGGCCAGGGCUACCCACGUGCUACAAUGGUCCGUACAAAGGGUUGCUACCUAGCG